UGUGGCCCUUGUGGAAGCUGCAGCUCCUUCCACUUAGCUGCUAUGAUCAAAGAGGAGCCCAGCGCCUCCCUGGUGGUGCAAGGGGCUAAGUCUCAGCACUAUGAAGCUAUUGGCAGACAUUG